rnacentral:rRNA from 1 species
GACGAACGCUGGCGGCGUGCCUAAUACAUGCAAGUAGAACGCUGAAGGAGGAGCUUGCUUCUCUGGAUGAGUUGCGAACGGGUGAGUAACGCGUAGGUAACCUGCCUGGUAGCGGGGGAUAACUAUUGGAAACGAUAGCUAAUACCGCAUAACAGUAGAUAUCGCAUGAUAUCUACUUGAAAGGUGCAAUUGCAUCACUACCAGAUGGACCUGCGUUGUAUUAGCUAGUUGGUGAGGUAACGGCUCACCAAGGCGACGAUACAUAGCCGACCUGAGAGGGGGAUCGGCCACCCGGGGACUGAAAAACGGCCCGAAACCCUCCGGGGGGCAGAAGAGGGGAAUUUUCGGAAAGGGAAGGAAGUCUAACCGGGCAACGCCGCGGGAGUGAAAAAGGUUUUCGGAUCGUAAAGCUUUUUUUUAAGGGAAAAACGGGUGGGGGGGGGAAAAUUCCACACUGGGGCGGUUUUUUACCAAAAAGGGGCGGCUAACUACGG